CUUGUGAGAUUAUAUGUAUUUGUCUCUGGCUAUUUUAUUCUGGGUAAUAGUUGGGGAUUAUUCAAAUGAUUUAUUUGCACAUAUGGAGGCUUUAAUAAGUUGUUUUAUUUGGUCUUUCUAUUUCAAUUUUUUGUUUGUUAUGAACUUGCAAGUUGGUAUUUUUUUUCUAGGCUUAUUGGUUUUACAUGGUGAUUGAAGGUACAAAAUUUUGAGUUGGUGAUACCAUUUAUUGAAAAGGAAAGUUGUGUGAUUUGGCUUUGAAUUGCUCUGAAAUUUGAACCAUAAUUCUUUUAAGUGCUCUGUAUUUGAAAAAAUAUUGAAAAUGGUCUCCUGGGCAAGCAGAAUGAUUUCCCCCAUCAUAGAUGAUUUUCUUUCUUCUAAUUAUUAGUGGCAAUGUCUUUUCUGUUUAUUGGUGUUAUUAUUUGGAGUCCUAGAAAACCGUGAAAAACUAUAUAAAGAAGGAUUUAAGAAACGCAUAUAUUUCUCCUGUAUAUAUUUUCAACUGCUCAGUUCUGUUUAAGCAUUGGCUUUUACUUCCUUUUAAAUUAGAAGUUUAAUUAUAAUUUAAGUAGUUUUUUUGUUAAUUUUAUCUUUUGUUAGUAGAUUAUCUAGUCCUAACAUUUGGAGUCUUGAUAACUUACUAACUAGGAUAUGAUAAAUUAGUGAAAUCAGAUACACCAAAAGAAAAUGAGGAUAUGAUAGCACAACUGAAGGGUUGCAAGCCAAGGGCGGACCAACAACAUCUCCAGAGCAAAAUUCAUAUAAUCGUAAGAAACAAAAGUAUUACCACAAGGGAGGGGCAAAACCAUUUCAUCCAACAUGCAAGGAAGGCUCGCAAGGAUAAGAUUAAGAAAAAGAAGGAUGGAGUUAAAGGAGAAAGUAUUCAAGAAGCACUUGAGGUAGUGAUGGUGAUCUUUCAAAUGACAAUGAUACAUGUGCUAAACUAAAGAUCAUGACAUGGCUGAUGACUUAUAUUAUGUAUUUUAUUGUUGGUUUCAAAUAUGCACACGGUAUACCUGUUUUGUUA